CUUCCCCUCAAAGAAGCAGAGCUUAUUAUUCUGUUCCAGGAAGCUGGUAUUCUUCACAAGCCGCUCUUUCAGCUGCCCGUCCACGCUGACAUUCAGCCCGAUUUCAUUCAGUUUACCCUCUGUCCUCUGCCAUUCAAAUCCAGCCUGACUGAUUUCUUUUGGGGAGUCCAUUCCGCACUCUAGAGGCUUGCCUUUGGAGAGCUGGUCGUACGCAGCAGUGAGAGCAGCUGGCUGCUUGUCUGGAAGCGACAUCGUCUCUUCCACUGCUCCCCCACUCACUCCUGGAGCUCUUACACCACCCACGUUCACACGGAGCUUGCAGUGACAUCACAGCAAGUUCCCGGGAUUCAUGCACUGGGAUUUGAACCCGGAGCCUUAAACCCAGGGCUUUUUACUGAGCAGCGCCAGCCCCAGUUCAAGAACUAGUGAUGUGGAAUGCUAACUGGGCCUAUGAUUUGAGGUUCUAUUUUAUUCAGGUUAAGUGUGAUAAAAGUAACAUGGAUUUCUAGAUCUGGUCACAAUGUGGUUUCUAAGACUCUUUGGUCAGAUAUACAAUGUCCAAAUGGGCUGGUACAGCCAGAUGUACUGGCAGAUGUUACUGUUCUUUUGUGCCUGGAGUUGAUAUUUAACCUGUUCAGGGCCUUAGAUUUUUGUAUGUUCCAUGGUUGGUUUCCCUGCAUUCUCAUUAGUUACCAAGGCAACAUUAUAUUCCAGAUUGACCAACUGUUCUGUUAAUUGUCUCCAGGAAACCAUCCUAAUAAAUUAUCAUUACAAUGAAAGUUAGUAAUUCUAAAUACAAUGACUGAUAGUACUUCUUUCUAAUAGCCCAAGGUUAAAGUUAUAAUCUGUUUUUUUAUUUUUUACAUGGAUAUAAUAGUUAUACAUAUCUAUUUUCAAAACCAUAUUUAACUGAAUUUUAAGAACAUAUCUUAGUACGUGUUCAACUCAAGGACAUCAUGAUUCUCCCUGAUUAACAUUCAAAAGUUGAGAAGUGAACAGACAAAAAAAUGGAAAAAAAAAGUAAUCUGAUUUAUGUAACCUCAAAGCACUAAAAUGAAGUCAAUGAAAAAACUCUAUCAAGGACAAUUUCCUUUUAAGCAAAGUUCUGACCUUCUAAUAGCCUCUACCAAAAGAAAAGAACAUGAUCCAAUAAAAACCAGACAGAAACACAACUCCAUUGACCAAAUAGUUCCAGGGUAAUUUUAAGGUUAUCUGUCUAUGGAGGCACACAGGACUCCCUAGAGCCUUUAGGAAUUUAUCUUCUUUUUCCCAAUCUCAAUUUAAAAGGCUUCAGAGAUUUCACUGGUUUCCCAAUGACAUCUCUACCAAUCACACCACAGCAUUUGCCACUUCCUUAAGAUACCAUGCAACUGCAGGCCACUAUCAUGUGACUCCUCGAAUGCUUUGCUUAGCAAAGUCUUAGCAACACUUCCUGACCCAUUCAGACCCCAGAACUCUUGCUCUUGUAUGUGACUAAUGCUAAUCUGUUCAUAAGAUGAUUUGUCUUCAGUGGAUAUGUCAUAGGUUAAAUAAAAUAAGCAAGUCCCA